AACGAACGCUGGCGGCAUGCCUAACACAUGCAAGUCGAACGAGACCUUCGGGUCUAGUGGCGCACGGGUGCGUAACGCGUGGGAACCUGCCCUUAGGUUCGGAAUAACUCCCCGAAAGGGGUGCUAAUACCGGAUAAUGUCUUCGGACCAAAGAUUUAUCGCCUUUGGAUGGGCCCGCGUUGGAUUAGCCAGUUGGUAGGGUAAAAGCCUAGCAAGGCGACGAUGCAUAGCUGGUCUGAGAGGAUGAUCAGCCACACUGGGACUGAGACACGGCCCAGACUCCUACGGGAGGCAGCAGUGGGGAAUAUUGGACAAGGGGCGAAAGCCUGAUCCAGCAAUGCCGCGGGAGUGAUGAAGGCCUUAGGAUUGUAAAGCUCUUUUACCCGGGAUGAUAAUGACGGUACCGGGAGAAUAAGCUCCGGCUAACUCCGUG
rnacentral:rRNA from 1 species